rnacentral:lncRNA from 1 species
ACUUAAUAGCAAUACUUAAUUUUACUUAACUAUAAGGACAGAUUUUCUUAACUAUAGGUACUUGCCAGACUCAAAUAUUUUAAAAUACUCUGUUAGCACAAGGCUUUUAAGAAGCAGAUGUCAAGAUGGGAUUAGAUGUACAAGAGAUAAUUUUCGUAUUUAAAAAAAAAAAACCCCAUGAAGUCUAAAGGGGAUGGUAGCAGGAAAAUGCAGGAAGAGCCUUUCUAUCAUGGUGGAGUUACGACACCCAUGAAAGGUGAGAUGGAAGGAAGGAGGAUUGGGUAGAAGAGCUUCAGAGAAAGUGUCGUCCAGACAAUGCGGAGACCCUGGAACAAAGCUGUCAGUCAGAGGAGUCCUGCAUGGCGGGUAAUAGUCUGGCUCUAGUACUCUUGCUGUGUCCAAUCACAGGCUGAGCAUAGCCCUGGAGGAUGUGUGGGCUUUGGUAUCAAGGCCUUAAUGGAUCUGAAGUUGCAGUAGCUGGAGUCUGUCUACUGCCUUUGUUGUCGCAGUUUCUCUUAAAAGGAAAUCUGACUGGCCACAAUUUCAUGACUACCUACAUAUGGUAAUAUGCUAAUACACUAUGAAUUUAAAGGAGAGGGAUACAGAAAGCUCUCUCCAAAAUUAUUUUUGGCAACAUAGCCCUUAUAAAUGAGUGCUCUGUGACUUGGACAUCUGGUGUGAAGAAGAUAAAAUUGUUUUAUUUCUAUUUAGAAUAACAUAUAACAAAAUUUACUAGUCAGGUUUUUUACUAGCAACAGAAUAAAAUAAAAAUAGAUGAUGUCACCGAAGUAAAAAUAUAUAUUGUGAAUUAGCAAUAUCAUCUGACAUACUGUGUGUUCAAAGGGUAAAAAAAAUUACUUAUCAAAUACACUUCAGAAUUUCAAAUCCCAUAUUAGAUGAAUACGUCUUUCUCCACAAAACUCUUUUUCUCCCUAAAUUUUCAAAUGUGUCACUUUCUUUUGGAUCUCCCCUCAUAUUUCUCACUUAAAAAAAUAGCGGAUGGUUCACUUUUAUUACUACCGAGUUUGUGCUUACAGUUAAAACAGUUUAUGCAUUUCAGUUCUUAAGAGAGCCUUAUGUAUAGAAAAUCUUUAUAAAAAACAAUAGUAAGGUAUACCUUUACAGAUGGAUGUUUGGAAAAGAUCUAAGUACUUGCACUACAAAUCUUUGAUUCCCUAGUAUGUCAUUGUGGCCGUUCAUAUUUCGCGCUGUGAGGUGUAUAGUUAGCUGACAGCCUCCCUCAUACCCUCACCCUAACCCCCGAUCUUGUGCUGAAUGCAACCCAUUCUUCUAGCAAGAUGCUUUGUGUCAGGGAAUCCCUAUCCAUUUGGCCAAAGUUUCUUAAAACAGAGCUCUAGUCUGAAACUCUUUCUGCUCAAUCCUGCUUUCCCCCUUUCUCUUCCAAAGGCAUUUCCCUUAACAAAUGUCUUGUAUGUUGAAUCCCAAAUUGCUAUCUGCUUCUCAAGAGGAUGCAAAAUAAUAGUCACUUAUAUGUAAAUAUUCUCUAGUAUUUUAUAUUUCAUUGUCUUCUUUUCUAAUUCUGUUCUUUUGUUACUUUACCAUUAUUUCAUUAGAAAAAAAAUCCCAAACCUACUGCAUAAGAUCUUUGGGAGCAAAUUCUGUCUCUGUCUCCACCUGUUAACUAGGCUUAAGAAGAGCCAGAGGUAAUACUUCAGUGGCUCAGGGGAGCUCUCUGAAUUGUGCCUCCAUUCUGGACCCCACACCAUUGACACAGCAUCCUUGUACCUGGAUUCAUCCUCUCUGUUGUGCC